CAAUGGAAAUUCUAAAUAUAUAAAUUUAUGUCACUGAGAGAAGGACAUACUAGCCUCAUGAAUAUUGCCAUGUUUAGACUAAAGUGAUUAAUAUUACUUUUCUGUGAUUUUUUUGGCAGCCACUACAGAAGGAAUUAGUCAGGCCCCAGGCCUGGAUGAUUUUCCCUUCCGAAUGAGAAUGUCAUACAGACUCUCAAAAGCAUGUGUAAGCCAGGAAUGGUUGGUGGAGAGCGCCUAUAAUUUCAGCACUCUUGGAGACUAGGGCAGGAGGAUCACAAGUUUAAGCUUGGCUUGGGCAGCUUAGGAACUUAGGGAGACCCCAUCUCAAAAUAAAAGUUAAAAAGGGCUGGGGUGGAGCUCAGUGCGAAGGCCCUGGGUUCAGUCUCCAAUGCUGGGAAGAAAUGCUCAUAUGCUCUCUGUCAUUUUCUCCUUUGAGGAAAGAUUUGCAGCUGCGAUGCUGAGUAUCGCUGCCUGUGUGGAAGGGGGUGAAGAGGAGCAGCCGUGUUGUGUCUGAGCAGCUCUGCCUCUCCAGGCGCUGACUUCUACGGCCUUUUCCUCAGGGUUGUGUCUGGCUGCCUCUCACAGCCCAGGCAAGGAGAUUUUCCUCCUAGUGCCUCCAAGGAUUAUCCCCUUGGACACUGAGAUUAAUGUCUUCCAUCCAUGAACAAAACUCUUUCUGCAGCAAGAAAUAUUGAAUAUGGGCUAAAUUGUCGUCUCAGUCCGAGUGUGUGCUGCUUCCUACUGGGGACAUCACUGCAGCCAAGCAGUAUUUUGGAUAUUUGUGAGGGUUUUCCUGGCACUCAUUGGCUAUGAACCAAAUAUGUGGUCAUCGAGACAGUCUCAAACAAUAAUAAAUGAUUCCCUAUAUGACAGAUCAUGAGAAAUUGAUGUAAGUAAUCAUUGACUAUUUAUGCAGGUUAAAAAAUCUUAGAACUUCCUUUUCUAAAGUACAUUUUGCAGACUUUUCAUACACAAUAUGCACUUAUAUUAUAGGAUUUAUAUCAAUCUUCUUAUAAAAUAGUGGUCUAUUACCACUGAAGUGGAAGCGCCUUGAAAGCAGAACAGGUGUGGCAUUUACCUGGGGUAGCCCCAGGGCCCGUGGGAUACAGGAGGGCAGUGUGGUGGUGGUGGGACAUAGAAUUUAGUUAGAGAAGGACUUGAUUUAAGUCCCAGCUAUAUCAGGUGCAGUUAGACUAGACUAGGUAAAUUAGACUAAUAAGUUAUAUAAAAGUUCUCUAUCCUUCCCUCACUCAUCUGCAAAUGAAUUAAUACUACACACAGAAAAUUUCUGUGGGGAUUAAAUAAAAAUUUAUAGAAGUACAUAGAGUAGACCUCAAAUUAUCAAAACUAUAUGACUAUUA
rnacentral:lncRNA from 1 species